rnacentral:hammerhead_ribozyme from 1 species
ACACUGCUGAGGAAUCCCACAAUAGGAUGAAACGACCGUCCAGUGC